rnacentral:lncRNA from 1 species
UGAGGGUCCGUAGAAUUUCUGAUUCGAUCUGUAUGAUCACCGAGUGGAUCGGUAGGAUCGCCGAGUGGAUCAGUAGGAUCGCCGAGUGGAUCGGUAGGACGUACUCGGAGGUCAAAGAGUACUUGGGCGAUACGGGAUCGCAGCUAGGUUGUCGACUGCGACUAUCAGGUCGCACUCGGGGCGAGUUGGUACUGAUGUAGUUGUCAGUUGUUUUGACGCCCGCAUGAGCCUCAAUGAGGGUCUGCAACUCAUGUAGUUGUCAGUUGUUUUGACCUCCACAUGAGCCUCAAUGAGGGUCUGCAGCUC